UACGUAAGGCGCGAGCGUUAAUCGGAUUUAUUGGGCGUAAAGGGUGCGUAGGCGGGAAUGUAAGUCGGGCGUGAAAUUCCGGGGCUCAACCUCGGACCUGCACUCGAUACUGCAUUUCUUGAGGAUAGGCGGGGAAAGCGGAAUUUCGCAUGUAGCGGUGAAAUGCGUAGAUAUGCGAAAGAACACCUGUGGCGUAGGCGGCUUUCUAGCUUAUUCCUGACGCUGAGGCACGAAAGCAAGGGGAUCAAACAGG
rnacentral:rRNA from 1 species